GUGCGGCUCAGGCGUUUCCGGUUACAGCAUUCAGCGCGCCUACGUGCAGAGAUUUAUUAGUGAGACAAAACAAAAUGGUGUUUUCCAUUUGAUGUUUAACAGCUGCAAAACUGCUGAUGUUGCAGUUUAAUGGACCACAGUGGACCAGGGAGGAACAACGUCAAGUGGGAGCCACAGGUGGACCCCCAGAAGGUGCUGAUGCCACCACUUCACAUCAAAUUGGGCCUUUGUCAGAGCUCUAGAUAAGGAGUCGGCAGUCAAAGGCAAAGGUCAAAGCCAGUGUCUUCAUCGGACCACAGAUAAAGAAGAUCCUGGAGUGCAGUUAAUUCCCCAAGAAGCUCACUAGUAAGGAGAAAGUGGCUUGGAACAGCUUUGUCGCAGUAGUUCGGGGCUUCCUGGGCAAUCACAAGGCCGAAAACUAUGUGGAGAUGGUUGAGAUUCUGGUGAAGAACUACGGCACAAUGGGCUGUAGGAUGUUCCUCAAAGUCCAUAUCCUUGAUGCUCAUCUUGAUAAAUUCAAGGAGAACAUCGGAGCGUACUCGGAGGAGCAAGGUGUGCUUUCAUCAGGAUAUACUGGACUUUGAACGCCACUACCAAGGACAGUAUAACGAGAACAUGAUGGGAGACUAUAUUUGGGGGCUGAUUCGUGAAAGUGAUUUACAGUAUAAUCGUAAAUCUCGAAAAACUACUCACUUCUAAAUCUUUUGUAGUCAUUUUUGUAUUACUUAACUAUAAAUACAUGUUAAUUUGGAUUCAUAUGUUGUUUUUUUCUGACUUUAUGUGAACGAAAAGACACAAAUUCUAAUUGGAAAUAAGUACAUUUCAAAAUAUCACUGUCCUGGUCACAAAAGCAAAGUUUGUGGGGAAUAAUAGCCAUUUUCUAUGCUUCUGAGGCAUAAGCAAUUAGGAAAUAACACUUACUACCCAGGAACAAAAAUUGUGUUAUAUAGUACUUAUCAGUGAAACAGUGACACAAAAUAAAUAUUAAAACAUAUAUUUAAUAAA